AGCAUAUCGACGAUUUGUGCGAUGGAUAUGGCAAUGUUUGGGGAAAAACAACAGGAAGAUCUUGCCAUCAUGUGUAGUAACAAAGAUUAGAACUGCAUUUCCAUCUCAGCAAUACUGUGGGUUUAGGUAUCCAACGGGAAUGUCCUAGAUAUGGCGCUCCACAAGUUCUGACUUUGGGACAUGUUGGUACGAGGAUGCAAUUGAAGCAGGACAGUUCACCAUGGCAGCCUCACGACUCUUUCUGGACUCACUCUUGAUCCCGGCUGGAGUUUUCAUUGAAGUGCAGGGCUGCAAUGUAUAGUCUGGAAAAAAGAAGAACAGUGGAAUUCAUGAAUUAUG